GCGCUCGUAGCCCAAUUGGAUAGAGCAUCUGAUUACGGAUCAGAAGGUUGGGGGUUCGAGUCCCUCCGAGCGCGCCA
rnacentral:tRNA from 1 species